rnacentral:rRNA from 1 species
UACGUAGGGUCCGAGCGUUGUCCGGAAUUACUGGGCGUAAAGAGCUCGUAGGCGGUUUGUCGCGUCUGCUGUGAAAACUCGAGGCUCAACCUCGGGCUUGCAGUGGGUACGGGCAGACUAGAGUGCGGUAGGGGUGACUGGAAUUCCUGGUGUAGCGGUGGAAUGCGCAGAUAUCAGGAGGAACACCGAUGGCGAAGGCAGGUCACUGGGCCGCAACUGACGCUGAGGAGCGAAAGCAUGGGGAGCGAACAGG